rnacentral:rRNA from 1 species
GACGAACGCUGGCGGCGUGCCUAAUACAUGCAAGUCGAGCGGACAGAUGGGAACUUGCUCCCGGAAGUCAGCGGCGGACGGGUGAGUAACACGUGGGCAACCUGCCUGUAAGACUGGGAUAACUUCGGGAAACCGGAGCUAAUACCGGAUACGUUCUUUUCUCGCAUGAGAGAAGAUGGAAAGAUGGUUUCGGCUAUCACUUACAGAUGGGCCCGCGGCGCAUUAGCUAGUUGGUGAGGUAAUGGCUCACCAAGGCGACGAUGCGUAGCCGACCUGAGAGGGUGAUCGGCCACACUGGGACUGAGACACGGCCCAGACUCCUACGGGAGGCAGCAGUAGGGAAUCUUCCGCAAUGGACGAAAGUCUGACGGAGCAACGCCGCGUGAACGAUGAAGGCCUUCGGGUCGUAAAGUUCUGUUGUUAGGGAAGAACAAGUACCAGAGUAACUGCUGGUACCUUGACGGUACCCAACCAGAAAGCCACGGCUAACUACGUGCCAGCCGCCGCAGUAA